rnacentral:rRNA from 1 species
GUAGGUGGCAAGCGUUGUCCGGAAUUAUUGGGCGUAAAGCGCGCGCAGGCGGUUCUUUAAGUCUGAUGUGAAAGCCCACGGCUCAACCGUGGAGGGUCAUUGGAAACUGGAGAACUUGAGUACAGAAGAGGAAAGCGGAAUUCCACAUGUAGCGGUGAAAUGCGUAGAGAUGUGGAGGAACACCAGUGGCGAAGGCGGCUUUCUGGUCUGUAACUGACGCUGAGGCGCGAAAGCGUGGGGGAGCAAACAGGAUUAGAUACCCUGGUAGUCCACGCCGUAAACGAUGAGUGCUAAGUGUUAGGGGGUUUCCGCCCCUUAGUGCUGCAGCUAACGCAUUAAGCACUCCGCCCUGGGAGGUACGGCCGGCAAGGCUG